AUUUAGAUAUCAGGGAAGAGCAAGAAGUAAAAAGCAAGAAGUAAAUACCACCUGAGUCAUGUCUGAAAAGAGUGAUAAGUCCACACAACUUUUUAAAAGAACACAAUCUGUUAGGUAAGAAUGAAAUCAAUGCACAAAACUGCAAUAAAAUACAAAUCUCCAGAUGUAGUUUAUGAGGUGACAGGGUUUUAAGUAUGAACACAUAUGCCCUGUGAAGUUCUAGGGUAAGAUAUUAAAAUUCACACUCUGACCUGAAGAAUUUUGUCCUUUUGCUUAUGGUCAUGAACAAUGGUGGGACUCCAACAGGGGAUUCUCCUUUCCCUCUGGAAAAUCCCUACUUCUUCCCUUUUAGAACUGAAAGAGACUAACUCCAAGUUAUGAGGCUACUGGGGAAUUUCAGCUAACUCCUGUGGGGAAAGAGAUGGAAAUAAGCAUUCCUCAACAAUCCCAUUGAUCAACCACAGGUUUCUCAUAAGCAUCUCUCAGAUUCCUAUAGGUCCCACUGAGGGAAGAAGUGGGUAAAGUGGAAUCACCACAUUUAGUCACAUUUACUAUACUGGCUGACACUAACUGUAACAACUAUUCAUUCCUCCUGAAUCCUGUUCCAAUCUGGCACAUGCUAGAUGGUAAGAAGCAACAGGAGGCCUUAAUGAUCACCAUGGCUUCUUGGCAGAAUACUUUAGCUUAGUACCAGUAUGGAACAGGUAUCUAUGAAAUCAGAUACCUGGAAACUUGGGUCUGUGCCACUACCAAAAUUAUUUCAGGUCAAACUUCUAUUAGUUACAUGGAAUCCUAUCUAUGUCACUUCUGGUUAAGCCAUACCUUCUUACCUCCAUAUUCACCUUAGUCACUACAGGCCAAGUUCAUUAGUCCUAGGGUCUCAUCUUCCCUCUGCCCCUUUCCUUCCAAAUGCUUCCAAUUCUGCUAUCAUUCCAUACCCUUCCACAGGGUCUUUGGAAUCCUCCAUUCUCCAAAACAACAAAUCAAAUCCAAAUUCUCUACAUCCUUAAAUCCUUAACCUCUCUCAGGGCCUGUGCCACAUGCUCUUUUUUUUAGCAGAAACCUAACUUUGAUGGAAAGUCAGUUCUUCUCAUAUUGACUUUUCAGGUAGGAGCUGUACAUUCUCCCAUAAGUCAACAUGAACAUCGCAGCCCUGGAGGCAAGGAUGGCAACCUCCUGGCUCCCUCCUGCCACUUCCUGUUUAUUGCACACUUAUUUUCAUUCAAGAAGUCUCUUCUCCUUUUAUGGUCACACUAUCUGGCUUUAUAUCCAUUUGCCUGAACCUGAUGCUCUCACCUUCUAAUCUUUAGACAAUACCCCAACAUUUAAUCAGAACAUUGCCAUCUGACCCACAGUCUUCAUCCUUAACUAUCCAACACCUUACUCUACAUCUGAGGUACUUAAACGACCUUCUCUGUUUUGAAGAUCUUUGCCUCCAUUCAACUUCUACAAUAUAAUUCCAAAGUCAUAUCAGGAUCUAGUCAACCUUUAAAAUUAACUAAUCUCCAGAAUCUAAAACUUUGACUACAAAGUACUAUCCUAACACUUUUGUCUCAUUAAAAAACAAAAGAAGAGAAGAGAAAAUGGAGGAAGGGAGGGUGAAAGAAUGGAAGAAAGAGGGAGAGAGGAAGAAAGAAAAUUCUGUUCACCAUCUUGAGCUGCUGCUACAUUUCCUUCUCCUUUCUUUCACAGCUGUUUCUCAAAAGAAUUAUCAACUUUCACUAGCUUCAGUCCCUCAUUUCACAUUCUUUCUUCAGCCUGCUGCUUCAGUCGCAAUUAUUGAAACUAUUCUCACUGAAGUUAACAUUGUUUUCCUGAUCACUUGAUACUACCUCAUUUUUGAAAUCCUUUGUUUGGGUUUCUUGACUCUUCCAAUUUUCUCACUUCUCUUGAGUAUAUCUUUAGUUCUCUAUGUAACUCUUAAAUAUUAGUGGCACUUAGAGGUCCAUCCAUACUUGCUCUCCUUUGUACACACAUCUUUUCUACAACAGCCUCUCCAUUGGCAUUAUUUUUCCCACAGUUGGUGUACAAUGACUGCUCAGCCCGUACACAUCAAUUCCACAACACUCUUCCAAGUUUCAAACAAGAUUUUCCUUUGCCCCACAAAUACUUCCACUUCAACAUGCUACAGAUAUAUCAAUAUCAACAUGCAAUUUCUCCAUUUAUUUAUGUAGUAGGUUAUACCACACAAGCAAGAAACAGGUGAGGCUGCUAGACUAAAUAUCACAGGACUUAAAGCUAUCUUUUCCAUUUCUGCGGCUGCUUAUUCAACAUUUAUCAUGUCUCAUCUGAAUUAUUGUAAUCACCAUCUAGAUCAUAGAGCAAAUACUCAUUCCAUCUUUAUAUUUUAUACCCAUACCUCUUUUCCUUCUGAUUAUUCAAAAUACAUAAUAUACAAUAUAAUUUUUUAAAACAUCUGAAAACAAACAAAUCUGAAAACAAAUAACUGAUAUCAUCUAAUAUAAAUUUUAAAAGAAGGGGGACAUCUGGAUAGCUCUGUCAGUUAAGUGUCUGGCUCUUGAUUUUGGCUCAGAUCAUGAUGUCAUGGUUUGUGGGAUAGAGUCCCAUGUCAGGCUCUGUGUUGACAGUGUGGAGACUUCUUGGUAUUCUCUGUCUCUCUCUCUCUCUUUCCCUCUGCCCCCUAUGAGAACAAUAAAAAAGGCAUUUCCAAAAUAAUGGUCAAGUCUAUAAGUGAGUAGGUGGUAUAUGCAGAAUGUCUUCCACUUUCCCCUUCCCAUCCCUUAUCCAUUCUUCUCUCUGUUCUUUGAGAAGAUCUUUGGCCAAAAGAGGGAGAGAGGAAAGCAAAAGAAGUUGAACUACUUUUCCAAUCCCUUCCUGUGUGAUGGUUAAUUUUAUGUGUCAACUUGGCUGGGCCACAGUGCCCAAAUAUGUGAUUAAACAUUAUCUGGAUAUUUCUGUGAGAUGAUUUUUAUUUUUAUUUAUUUAUUUAAUUAUUAUUUUUUUAAAUAUAAUUCAUUGUCAAGGUGGCUAACAUACAGCGUAUACAGUGUGCUCUUGGUUUUGGGGGUGGAUUCCUGUGACUCAUCACUUACAUACAAUACCCAGUGCUCUGUGAGAUGAUGUUUAGAUGAGAUUAACAUUUAAAUUGGCGAACUUUGAGUAAAGCAGAUUGCUCUCCAAAAUGUCAAUCAAUUGAAGGCCUUUACAGAACAAAAACACUGCCCUCCCCCAAAUAAAAGGUAGUUCUGUUGGUGGACAGCCUUCAGACUUGAAAUGCAACAGGCUUUUUCUGGGUCUCCAGCUUGCAGACCCAUCCUGCAGAAUUUGGACUUACUGGCCUCCACAAUCCUAUGAGCCAAUCCUUUAAAAUAAAUGUCUUUCUGUAUAUAUUUACAGAGAGCAAGAAAGAUAAAUAUGUCUGAGUAUAUAUACACCCUGACAAAUACACCCUGCUCCAGCACUGAGUGUUUGGAAAUAGCUGCGGCCCUGGUAAAAUGACCCCUUCUCCACUUGUCCAGCUCCCACUGGGUCAACCUAUUAUCUCUUUUGUUACUUGGCUAUAAGUGUAGUAAUUGUUCUCCCUGUUACUAGUGUCCAAUAUCUUACUAUCUUUUAUUUCUUAACACUGCCCACACUUUUGAAAGCAGUCCUUUCAUUAAAGCAGUGGUUCCCACCUCAGGCUGCAUCUUAAAAAUCAGCUUUGGGAAGCUUUGAAAAAUCCCAAUGGCCAGGCCACAAACCAGACCAACCAAAACAGAACCUCUGAGAGCAGGAUACAGGCAUCAGUAUUUUUUAAAGCUCCCCAAGCGUUUCCAAUGUAUAGCUAAGGUUAAGAACUAUUGCAUCAAUGUCUCUUUAUCUGAAUCAUUUGAGAUGAAUUUAGCUUCCAGCCACAGCACCAACCAGUAUGCUGUCAUCAUCUAAUAUCCCCUUCAAUGAAUUCCUCUCAAAGCUUAAAGAAAAAAAAUGUUUCUUAAAAUCCUAUGAGCAUUUAUUACUUGUAUUUUUCAUAUAAUUAUUUCCUAUGCUGUCAAGAAUUAUUUCAUUUUUAAGACUAUUUCUCUCAAAAUGUGCCAGUUCAUUCAUUUGUGCCUACUCAAAAACUUGUCUCCCAGCUACCAUUGUCACCCUUUUUAACCUCAACUUCUGGCAGAAUAAUCUUUCAAAAAUGUGCCUGAUCAUGUUGUCUCAUGAUGCAAGUUUAAAAUUGCAAUCAGUCAAAGUCUAUGGCCUAUAAAAGUUGAAGCUUCUUGGUUAGGCAUUAAAACUCUUCACACUCAUCAGACUGGCGUUAAUUCUCAACAGUCUCCCCCGAUUCUUUGCCCUACCAUUCUACAUUCUACUUAUCACUUGCUGCUUCGGCUCCCCUUGUCCCUUUGUGCCUCCUCUUUGUAUUAAUUGGGAUCAUUUCUCCUGCCUGUAAUCUCCUUCUGUUCUUCAGCAACCUGACCUUUCAGUCCGUCAACACUCAACUCAGAUGUUACCUCCCCAAUGAAGAUAACUCCAGCCCCUCUAUAAUGCUUAAUAAUGAGUAGCUAUUAUUAACUAACUCUCUUGAGGCUUGGAGAGAUUUCCCAAAAGAAGGGAAUUGUACACUGGGACUGGGAAAAAAAAAAGAGCAAAGAAGCAAGUGACAGGGAGACGGGGAAAAAGGUUCAGAUGGCUUACACAAAACCCAAAGAUGUGAUAGCAUCCAAAGCACACGUGAUGAACUGCAAAUAUGUCUGUACGGAUAAACAAAGGAGACUGAUGCACAAUAAACCUUGUAAGGAGGUUUUUUAAUGUUUAUUUAUUUAUUUUGAGAGAGAGAGAGAGAGAGAGAGAGAGAGAGAAAGAGUAGGGGAUGGGCAGAGAGACAGGGAGACAGAGAAUCCCAAGCAGGCUUCGUGCUGUCAGUGCAGAGCACUGAGCAGGGCUUAAUCCCACAAACCAUGAGAUUAUGACCUAACCUGAAAUCAAGAGUCAGACACUUAACCAACUGAGCCACCCAGGUGCUCUAAGGAGUUUUUGUUAUAAUCUUAAUAGCAAAGGAGUGUAUAACUUUACACACAUCAUUCACAAAGUCACAGAGAAUAAAUUAGAGAACAGAAAUAUUUGAGACAGAGAGGCCACCAGGAGACUGUAACAGAAACCCAGAAGUUCCUCACUGAAGCUAGGUCAGUGGCAGUGAAAAAGAAAGAACAUGCCAUUUUCUGCAUUAUCUUUAUGUAUAAAAAUUGUGUGGCUUUUGCCAAACAGGUCUGUUAAAAUUCAGAAAAAGAAUUCAACACUUCACACAUUCUUUUGACUGAUUUAAAUAUUAUAUGAAAAUGUACAUUCCUUUGGGGCACCUGGGUGGCUCAGUUGGUUAAGCGUCUGACUUCGGCUCAGGUCAUGAUCUCACAGUUCAUGAGUUCGAGCCCCGUGUCGGGCUCUGUGCUGAUAACUCAGAGCCUGAAACCUGCUUCAGGUUCUGUCUCCCUCUCUCUCUGCCCCUCCCCCGCUUACAUUCUGUCUCUCACUCUCUCAAAAAUAAAUAAACAUUAAAAAAUAUUUUAGAAAAUGUACAUUCCUUUAAAAAUUUAAAGAGUCCAGUAUCUUUAAUGACAUGUAUAUAAACAAAUCAACUACAAUUGGCUAUGACAUUGAAUGUUAAUCAUUCUUUUCAUCCGAAAGUCACCCUUUGCAACAACUUUUUCUCUUUCCACUACUAUUUUUUUUUUCUUUCCAUUUGAUAGCUUUUUUGGUCAUUUGAAUAUGUCUGUCUUUACAGGUAUAUAUGUAGGUCUUAAAAAAUGUUUUGUCAGUGUAUAGAAGACUUUUCAUGAAUAAAGCAAAAAAAUAAACAUUAUUAAAAUGUUGGUAACAGGAACAAAUAUGGGAAGUCCAUUACUAGGUCUGUUUGUUGUCAUGUAGGAGAAUAUAAUUUCAAUGAAUAGUGUAACUUAGAGUUCGAACUCUAUCAGAGAAUUUUGCUUUAUAUCUGGAAAAUACAUUUAUUACCAAAAAAACUAAGAACUUCACAUUUCUAGUUCAAAAUAAUUUGAGUGAUGAUAUUACAUCAUAGAAUGUCAUACAUGCAGUAACAUAAACCAUAAUAUUCUAUGUAUUCAUUGCUGAAAUGUCAUGUGUUCACAUAUAAAGCAAACAUCACCAGAGAUUCUCACACAGACACCCAAAUGACUCUCAUUCACACCAUUAGUUUGAAUUCAAUGCUUCAAAUUCUCCAUGUAACAGUUAUUACUGUCCUGUAAAUUUCUUAGGGUCUACAUUUUUUACUUUUCUGGUAUCUGCAAAAACCCACUCACAGCAAGCAUUUUGUGAGUCUAGUAACUUCAGGGUUCAUGAGAAAAGUAAUGUUAUUCAUAGAAAAGCUUUAUUCCAUCUCCUAUUGCCUCUGUUUUGUUCCUAUUCUUAUCCCUCCUAUCUCUUAAUUCUGUCCUCUGCUCCAUUGUAUAGAAUCUUAUCUUUAUAUCACACACAUGAUUCAUGAACCUUUAGUAAGGCCAACAUCAUACCUACAAAAACUUACCUCAUCCAAGAAUUUACCAAGAGCUUUGCAAAUAAAUUGUGUUCUCCAUCUACUAAGCAGUUAAAAAUUGCUCCGUCUUAUCAUGUGUAUAAUACAUUGUGAAUGCAGAAGACAUCUUGCCUAAUGGGGUCUGAUAUUUUACCCAGAUCAUAAUCUGUUUAGUAUUUGCCAUUAUCCAGCAUUUUCUCUUACUACCUACCACUCAUCUUAGAUUUUAUUACAUUAUCUUCAAUCAAGAAAUGGAUGACAUGGAGGAGAAAAUAUUUUCUGUUUCUUCCACGGAAGGAAAGGGGGAUGAAAUAGAGAGUUUGGGGUAAAAAAAAAAACCCAACUAUACACUAGGUGACAUCUGAGGCAUUUUAUAAAUAUUACCACAUUCAAUAAACUUCUUAAUUGAAUCUUCACAAUAAAUAAAGAAGGUAUUAUAAUUCCUCUUUGUUCAGAUGGGAAUCCUAAGGCUGAGUAACUUUCUCAAGGUCUCAAUAGCUAGUAAGUAGAAUGGGUGAAGUCCACAUUUAUUCUGCUAAAAUGCUGAAUUACAGAUUGGAAUAGAUGUGUAAGUUUUCUUUAACAUCCUUUUUGUUAUAGCUCUAUCACUCUUCCACUGAAAUUCUUAUCCUAUGGACCAAAAGUGACCAAAAAUUACACAAAGAAGAUGGGCCUUAGGAAAAAUUUAGGUUCAUUACAGUCCCAUGGAAGAGAAUUUCAGUAACUCAAGGUGUGGGAUAUCAACUGUUUCUACUAGAGAUAGUAACAGGAGAAAGAGUUAAAUUUUUACCUACUAAAUCAGUCAUUCCUUCAUUGCUUUAUCUGAAUAAGCUCCUCACCUGAUUUCAAAGUCAAGUUGAAAUUUGAAACUGAACUUGGAUCCUGUACUCUAACAAAUGUCUGAGACCUUAACAUAUUUUCCCAGAUUUUUACCACUCACAGUCAUGCCCCAGACAGAGGAAAUGACUCAUCUUUUUUAAAAACUGGAAGUGUAAAAGUUAACAUAAAAUAUGCCAAGACAAAUUUUUAAAAAUAUAUGUUAUAGGAAGUAAGUAUUUGUGUUUUUAUAAGUCUAAUCCAUUUGCAUACCUUUGGUUCUUGGGUAUCUAUGUAAAAUUCAGUCAAAGGAAACCCAUAAUUGAAAACUGGAAUAAUAGAAGAAAUGGGUCCCUAUUCUUGAGUUUAAUUAUAUUUAAUUAUACCUAUAAGUUUCAUAUGAAAUUUUAAAAUUGGACUUAUUUAAAAACAUGCAUGUAUUACUAUACCUCCAAAUGUAACAAAAUUUCCAAAAAUGUUGAAAAAUCAUGAGAAACCAUGAAGUACUUUAUUUGACUACAAAUAAUGCAUGAUGAAUUGAAAAUAUGAUGGUGCUAAUUUUUGACUUAAAGACAAGUUUAUUUAAGACUCAGUUUGAAAAGUCCGUUGAUGGGGCGCCUGGGUGGCGCAGUGGGUUAAGCGUCCGACUUCAGCCAGGUCACGAUCUCGCGGUCCGUGAGUUCGAGCCCCGCGUCGGGCUCUGGGCUGUAUGGCUCAGAGCCUGGAGCCUGUUUCCGAUUCUGUGUCUCCCUCUCUCUCUGCCCCUCCCCCAUUCAUGCUCUGUCUCUCUCUGUCCCAAAAAUAAAUAAACGUUGAAAAAAAAAAUUAAAAAAAAAAAAAGAAAAGAAAAGUCCGUUGAUUAAAAGGCAGACUGUCUUCACAAUGGACAUUCAGCAGGCACAAUUCAUCAAGGAUGUGUACCUAGCACAUGGUAUAUAUUUUUGAUAUGAUAAAGCACAGCAUCUCAGAAGAUAAAGAGAACAGCUUGAGAUGCAUGCCUCAAAGAGAAACUCAAAAGGAAAAGAAAUCCAUUUCAAAAGGAAGAAACAAAAAUUUGACAUCUUGCUCCAAAAGAGAGAUUUUGCUUUAAACUACUCCAAAAAAAAAAAAAAAAAAAAGGAAAAUAGCUGCCUGAUAUCUGAAGGUGAAGAAAACUUUGUCAUCCUUGACCUUGGAAACCUUAAAGCACAAUACACAUAUAUCACAAAGUCCCAAUUCUAAGCCCCCAUUCAAGAGGGAGGGAUCACCCUGUGAAGGAGAUGGUACAUAUAUAAGACAACCUUUUACUGGAGGGGUGUUUGUACCAGCAUCUGAGACACAGGGGUCCAAAGUUCGGCUAGAUAGAAUAUUCCAGAAGUGCUCAGAGGUGAAAGCAGUUAUAUAAAGAAAGACCAAAGAAAAUCCUGAUGUUACGGCUAAGACCAAAGUAUAGUAGGAACCAAAGGCAUAACCUAGAAUUAAUGCCUGGCAGAACAAAGAGUAACCUAAGCACACUGUAGAUGAAGCAAAGCAGUGAGAAGGCAAGCUUUGCAAAUGAGGUUGUUUUUAUGGCUUGCUUUUAUUGGCUGUACAGUAGAGAAUGUGAAGGUGUGUUGGGUACGACCUCAAAGUAAAGGGAUAUUGGAAGACAAUAGGUCUAAAUAAACUUUGCUGGGCAUUCAAUAAUAACAGACAAGGCACUUAGUCUUGGUUUUUAUUUUCCUUUGCUUUGCUCUGGCUAUUUUCCUGUAACUCCUAUUUUGGUUAAUAACACCCCACUCCCCUCUUUGAGCAACCAAAAAGCAAGGGAAUCAUCUUGAUUCUUCUUACUGCUACUAUACUUAUGAUUUGUCUUUAAAUAGACUCAGCAUUCAUUUAACUUAAAUGUAUUUAAAAGGAAAUCACAUUAUUAAUUAAAAACCGCUAGUUACUAAAAGUUACUAAAACCAUUGGUUUCUAAAAAAGAAAUAUAUUUUUGAAAAUUCGAUGAAAAAUUUUAAAUGUCAUUGAAUUUUAUCAGAAAUCUACUCCUUCUUUGUUAAAAAGGACUGGUUAGCAAAUACCAUUUAACACACAGAUUGGUAUGAAUGUAAGACUUUCUCCUUAAAUUAGAGAGAUUAAAAUAUAAUUGAAAAUAAAAGUAUUUUUUGUGUGAUUUAAUUAUGAUUUAUGCUGCAUCCUUGUACCAACAAAAUGUCAUCUAUAGGCAAAUCCCACACUUUGGGAAGCAAUGAACUAUGGGAUAAAAUCCAAACUCAAUAGCCUGGUAUGAUCUCACUCCUGAAUACCUUUCAAGCUCAUUUCCUGCCACUGCACAAGCUACAUAUCCUGACUAUAUUUGGCUUCAUUAACUUCCCCAUUGUAUCUGCUUGAAAUACUCUUACGCCUCCUUCAAGAGUUUCAAUUGUGAACUCUUGAGAGACUUCCCAGGUCCAUUUCUCCUUAGCACUGACAAGGAUUCUUCCUUGACCAAACUCUAGUGGGUUCUUCUAAGUCCUCUUCUUAGCUAUGCUUCCACCUAUGAAGACUUAAAUAAGCACUAAUAUAGUUUCUAACAGCUCAAGGCUGCAUCUCUAGGAUAACCCUAGCCCCCUUAAAGUCUGCGUAAGAAAACUCGUGGCAGCCAAAAGAAUUCACUGUUUGUUCCAGUCAACUUGAAAACAUAGGGCUCCUGUCUCCCAGUCUCUUUGGGAGAGAAGGAGUCUAACUUUGAUAAGUGCCAGUUAGCAAACUCAGAUGGAUUUUACAUGGACUAAAUCCUUCCUUCCCACUUUUUGUAAUUUUUACUUCCCUGAAAAACUGUAUUGAGCCCUUGCUUGCUUUCUCUACUGCCCCAUUCUCUCUUUAAACACCCAUCACCCAUGUGGAAAUCAAAGUUGAAUUCCACUCAUGCUGGACUCAUUUCCCUAUUGCAAUAGUUAUUACUGAUUAAAAUCCAUCUCCACCCCUUUAACUAGUGUCUGCCUUUAUUUUUGACAGCACUUCGUAUCUGCCUCUAAUUCUCUAUGUUAUUAGUACUGAACUAUCCCUCUUUCUUACUAUGUUGUACUCAUGUGUGUACUCCAAGUGCCCAAAUCAGUACUGUACAGCAUCUCCCACAUUAGACAUGGCAAACCUUUUUUUACACAAGGUUAGUCAAGUAAAAUGGUUAAACAACGUUUUGUCAGAUUUUUGCAUUGUAUGUGUAUUACAUAUGAAACAACUAAAUGAUAUCUUGUCACAUAGAUACUCAACCACCACUGUGGUGGUAAUUUCGUGAGAGCAAUCUUUAGACUUAAAUAAUUGUGUAUACAGAACAAGGGAACCAAGUUAUCCAACUAGUGUGAACAGGGCCACGUGGAGAUAUAAUAUAUUGCUUUAGUUUUUGUUCCAACUUAUAAACCAUAAGAGGGACAUCAACACUGCAUUCAGUUUAGUUUAAAAAUAGUUUAGGGCCCCUGGGUGGCUCACUUGGUAAGUGUAAAACUCUUGAUUGCAGCUCAGGGUCAUGGGAUCAAGCCCCGAGUUGCGCUCCAUGCUAAGGGUGGAGCUUGCUUGGGAUUCUUUCUCUCCCUCCCUCUCAGCCCCUCCCCCGCUCAUGCUCUUUAUCUUUCUCUCUCUCAAAAUAAAUAAAUAAACAUUUAAAAAUAAUUUAAAAAUAUUUUUCAGCUUAUUUUCCUUCUUUCUCAGCUUUGUCAGUAUCAUUUUGUAUUCCAUUAUUUUCUAUAACCUCCCAUCUUUCUCUUUUGGAUGUCUGAAAGGGCGGACCUACGCCGGCCGACUCCAUCUUGUUCUGUGUCCUCCACCUUGACCACGCCUCCUCCCCUUGAGUAACCUCCCGCUCACCCAUUCAAACUUCCCGAUCAAAACACGCCGGCGACCUGCGUAACAGGACUCCAACCCUUCCCCAGCCAAUUGGCUGAGGCCACAGCCAUUACCUCACCAACUGGCCCUAGACCCCAAUAAAACAUUUGUGCUUUUGAAACUCGCUCUCUCUCCCUGGCAUCUCACUGCUGCGUCGGUGCAGGUAGGGGACUGAGCUCCAGCUAGCUCGAAUAAAGGCUCUUUGCUUUUGCAUCGGACUCGGCUCCCUGGUGGUCUUUGGGGAUCAUGAAUUCUGGGCAUAACAUGUCCACUUCCUCUUAAAAUAUCAAUUGCCUAUUAUCACUCCUAUCUUUUGUUUUAUAUUAGUAAUAGCACUUCUAUAGCUAUAGCACUGGGGAUUUACAUGCAAGCUACAGAAGACACUAGGCUUUUACUUCAAAAUUAGUUUUGUUUUAUUUGCUUCUUACAGGUGAAAAUGCUACUUUACAUAGAAGCCUAUUUUAUUUCAUAAAAUUAAAUGAACCAAAACCCCAAAGUGCAAUGAGACAUACACAUCAUGACCACACUAUUUCAGAAAGCUGAAGGGUUGCCAGUCCAUUGAUCUCAGACUUCAUGAACCACAGUGCAGCUCAAAUUGGUUCUCUGCAGAAGCUUUGAGUUUCUGCCAAAACAGCCAGUGCAGAACUCUGAAAACCACAAGGUACAGAGAUGGCAUCUAGGCACAUUUUUAAAACUGUUAACUCUUUCAUUGAAGUUUACUUUGUUACUUUACUAAAGGGGCUGGUGUCACACCAGACAUUUUUCUUGCUUAAAGGCAAUAUGCAGUAAUUGUUAGGAUAACAUAUUACUGAAAACAUGAAACUAAAUGUGGGGCCUGUGUGAGCUUCCUUCUUUUGCCAAUGGAUUACAAAUGCUUUUUCCUGUAUACAAUAGUACUAACAUUAAACAAUAAAUAUAGAAUUCCUAUUGUGGGUUGAUUUGGGGCAUAUCAAGUCUCUUUUUUUGUUUCCAAUUGCUACCUGUAGCAGCAGCAUCCAGUAGCCUAAAACCAUUCAGUCAAUGCCCCACCCAGCCUCAGAGUCAAUCCUAAUGUAACCAGGCAAUAUAUUAAGAGCUCCAUCCACAAUCAUUAAAUGGAACCUGAAAUUAACGGCACAUUCCUGGGUCCAGAAUCCAGAACGAAGUGUCCUAUGCAUUCAUACACACAGUCAACUGCAGCCCCUCUCCCAUCCAACAAUUCUGUUGCCCAGUCUUCACUGCUGGAUGUCUGUCCUUAAAGACAUCAUCCACUCCUGGGUUGUAACUGAUAUCCUAAGCUAAACUACCACUGGUUUAACAGGGGCUCUGCCCCCUCACUAAAAUCUGGGCUGACACCUCUCACCCUGUUCCUAGAACUGGUUGGAGCUUUGCUUCUAACUGAAUGAGCUCUUUCCUUCCCUUAUCUGGAGUGAAAACACUAGCACUGCCAGAAAUGCCUUUUGCCAUAUCCUCCCCUAACUUGAUUCCAACUCCUUGUAAAUCAUUCCUGGCUCAGGAGCUCACACCCCUUACUCUUGAUAAUGUGACUGGAAAUGCUGGUCACUCACUUACUUUAGAACCUUGGUCCCAGCUCUGUUUUUCUUGCUUCCUUCUUUUUUCUUAACCUGAGGCCCAGAACAUCUCAUAGUAGGUGUAUUACAUGGAAUAAGACAAUGUCAGUGUGUAAAAAGUACUUAUUAUAUAAAGGAUAUCUUGAAGACAUCUUUUUUAUUCAAUGCAAAUAACCACCACAAUCAUUCUUUUUGGUGGUUUCUAAUUUUUUUUUAAUGAAAAAUAAACCUUUACAUUUUCCUAACGAGAAAAUAGUAUAGUUUCCUUAUAUUCCAAAAUCUGAUAAAACACGGGAUCAAGUUAUUCUUUUCGAGAUGCUGUUAAUGUUAGGUGUUGGAGAGCCCAACUAGUACCUGCAUUAAGUAGUUAACUUUGUGUUUGAGCUUGAUUCUUUCUAUAAAGUUUUCCGUACUAUCUACAUUUUGUGCUACCCAGUUUCCAUGGCAACAUGUUUGUUCCCAUGGAGAAACAAAAGUGAACACCUUAACAGAGUUGAAGAUAUAAAACCUCACUCAGUGGAUAGUUUGCUCAGAGGUUAUUCCAGAACAAAACAAAAAGAUGGAAAAGCAGAAAAUAUAUCCAGGUUUCAAAUUCCAGCUCAAAACUAAGAAAAUACUUCUGAUUUUUUUUGACCUGCCAAGUAACAAAUCAUUUUGGUGUCCUUAACAGCAACUUCUUUUUUUAAUAUAAUUUAUUGUCAAGUUAGCUAACAUACAUUGCAUACAUUGUGCUCUUGGUUUUGGGGGUAGUGUCCCGUGAUUCAUCACUUACAUACAACACUUAGAGCUCAUCCCAACAAAUGCCCUCAAGGCCCAUCACCCAUUUUUCUCCUCUCCUCCACCCCCUCCAUCAACCUUCAGUUUGUUCUCUGUAUUUGAGUCUCUUAGAGGUUUGUCUCCUUCUCUGUUUGAAACUAUUUUUUCCCCUUCCCUUCCCCCAUGGUCUUCUGUUAAGUUUCUCAAGUUCCACAUAUGAGUGAAAACAUAUAAUACCUGUCUUUCUCUGACUGACUUACUUCACUUAGCAUAAUACCCACCAGUUCCAUCCAUUUUAUUGCAAAUGGCAGGAUUUCAUUCUUUCUCAUUGCCAAGUAGUAUUCCAUUAUGUGUAUGGCUUAAUAGCAACUUUAAACUGAUUGUGUUUUCCCCAAAAGCAAUUUGUAAAACUCACUACUUAGACAAAGAGCCUUUUUAAUGGUGAUUUGAUGGUUUGUUUUAUUUUAGCAAUUUGGUUCUCAUAGUAGCAAUUUGCAUUUACAUAUUUCAAGAAUUUUUGAAUUUUCAUGAAACUCCCUAAAUUUAAACCAACCUGAUUGAAACAAAACAAAACAAAACAAAACAAAACAACUGUACACUAAGGCAAUGACAUUCUGAGCAAAUGAUUACAAGGUUACUUUUUAAUAAAAACAAAUUCUUUUUGUUUUUUUCUUUAAUGUCCGUAACUUUCCUAGUGUAUCUUUUUGUCUGUAUAUGUCAUUUCAGUAGAGCCCGCAGACUGCAAAUGGGUGGGAAUUUGGCUGCUUUGAUUGAAUAUGAAGGGAAGUUGGUAGCCUUAGUUAGGCUGCUACUAUUAUGCCAAAUUCCUAACACCAUUACAGCAGGACUUUGGAUGAUACUAGUAAAAUAAUUCACACCCAUUUGCAAGCUCCAUUCAAGUGGCAUAAACUUUACUUGUAAAAGACAAAGCAAAAUCACUUGGCUCCAGUGGCUCUUUGCUGUGUCACCUCCCUGUCUCCUGCCUGCCUACUUUCCCUCCCACUUAUAAUCCAGACACUGCUCCCUUUCCAUUUCUAUCCCACAUGUCUUUGUCUGCUGUUCCCCCUUUGUGCUUUUUUUUUUUUUUUUAAUCUUUAAGCCUUGACCUCCUUUUCCCCUCUGUUCUGCUAUUUCUACCCUACAAUGUCAUCACUUUUUCUGGCUUCACUCUUGUUUCUUAUACCGUGCCCUCUUCAAUCUUUAACUUUUUGGGGGGGUGGUAUUAUCCUUAUUUGCAGUCUUCUCUCCUGCUUUUAGUUUACUUUUCAUUCUUGACACCUUUUCUUACUCUUUGUACCCCCUCUUCUAGAAGUUUGCACAAGUUGCUCUUUUAAAAUUUUUAGGGAUUGUACCCUGGCGAUUUUUUUUCUCCCCUUCCAUGUAUUUUUUUUUUUUUUUCCUGAUUACUUGAAUCCCAGUCCCACGGACUUUGUGCAAAAUAUUACAACUGAAACAAUUAGAAUAUUUCUUUCAUAUAAUAAAAGUUAGAAGACAAUCCUUAGAAAUUAGCAUCUUAAACAGUAGACUGCUUUUGUUUUUUCUCUUUGUCCCCUCUGUAAGUUCACAGUGAAUAGAAUCAAUGAGAUUUGUCAUCUACUAGAUUUGUCUAGAUCAGGCAUUAUUCACUUGAAUCAAGUAGGAAAGAGCAGGACUCUGAAAUCAGCUAGUCCAGCAUGCUGAACUGUUGCCACUCAAGAUAAAAUAACCUUUGUACAUUAUGUGGUCGACUGACCAGGAGCAGAAAAAAGACGUGACUCAGGAUUAAUUAUAGUUUUUAUGGCGAUAGUUAUAAGAAACAAGAACCAAAGGUUUUUCUCCUACUUAUUUUCAUAUGGUAUUGGGGUAAAUGCACUUGGGCACUUCCAUCAUUUUAUACUGUUUAUUCCAUAUGGCAGAUAAAAUAACAAAAAUUUCUUGAUAUAGAGAUUUCUUCUGCUUCCCUAUCAUCAAAUGAGCAUACAGUUUGAGUUGUUUUUUUGUUUGUUUUGGGAAUUGGAUGUUCAUCUUUCUUUUAUAGACUUUCACCUAAUUUCCAAAAGUAUGCAAUAGUGUAUUGCAUGUAAAGAUAAAUGGUCCAUUCAGGUUUAAAUGCAUUGUUUUAAACUAAGGAGAUAUAUAUCUUAAUAUUUGAAUUAUUCAUGACCAUAUAGUUACAUAAAUUAUAUGAGAUAUACAUAUAUAACUAAAUCCAUUAGCAUAGUGGCAGAUUCUUUAUUUAUGCUUUCACAAACUUGUAAUUAAAAAUUAUAUAAAAAUUUUAUUACAGAGGAAUUUUCCACAUCUUCUUUUCUUCACUAUUGACAUAAUUAUAGCACCAACACAUAGUCAUGUAUGUUGAGCAUUGCACAAUGUUAGGGGGCCAUUCUUGACCUACAUGUGGGGCCCUAUAUACAGUGGAUUCAUUUUGCAAUUCUCACUGAAACUAUACUGUGCUUUUACUUGUUAGAUGAACAAAAUUUUCUAUAUCGAUAAUGUUGAAUUAUAUUUGGUUUUACUCUCUAAAAAUCCUGAAAAAAAAGGUAACAUUUUAUAGCUAAGAGGAAAUGUACAGACCAUCCACUUUUUCUCUUUCAUGUUCUAAAGAAGAAAAAUGUUUCCAGAGAAGUGAUGUAUCCUGACUAUAAUUUUAUCGCCAUAUAUACCAUCAGAAUCAUGUUAGAGCCAGCUCUCCUAAUUCCUAUCCUCAGGAAUAUCAUUUUGAAUAUUCAUGGUGACAAGGAGAAUAUAUGUUUACCACAUUAAUCUCAUAGGUCCAACUUUCUAGAUUUUUAGCCUAACUUUACUCAUAGACAAUUUUACAUUGUAAACUGCUAGAGGAAUGAAGUUUGCUACGUAAUCAAACAACAUACGAAAUGUUUUUUUGAGAGGGGAUGUUACCUUGCCAUUGACUAACAUAGUGGAGAAUAUUUAGAAUAGGAACAAUUCAAUGCUACUGUUACAUCUAUAUUACUACACUACAGUUUUGGAAUAUGAACAUUCAGUAAUUGAAAUAGAGUUUCUUCGGGAUUAAAAUGAUUCCCUUCCCAAUAAUGCACUGGGAAAUCACCAAUUUACUUAUCUUCUCUAUAGAGCUUUUCUUUAUUAAUAUCAACCCACACUUUUCCUUCUCUUUUUUUUUUAUUGCUCAACAGUAACGUGUGGUUUUUGCUAUAGUAUUUUAAUUUGUUUCUGUACUCUAAUUGCAUCUUGAAACCUGUCAACUCCAUGUGUUCUAAGUUUGUCUUUUACUUGUUUUCCCUCCUCCAUGAUCUUGAGUGUGCAUAUAUUGAUGUUAAAUGUGCUAUUUAAGGGGACAAGAAUUGAACUAGAGAUAUGUCAUCACAUAAGUCCUAAUUAAUUGGAAACAAAUAUCCAAAUUUAGUCUAUCUUGCCAAAAGUGUUGUCAACGUGUACAGCAUGAAUCUAAAUGUUAACAGAUGAAUCAUUAAUAAUAACUUUAAGCGAAAAUUACUACCAAGAAAUUUCUAAUAAUGAUGCUUAAAUUUGUUUCCUCUGGUAGAUUAAAGCAUAUUGAUAAAAAGAACAAACAGAGAGGAAAACCUAGUGCAUACCAUCAAAAAAUCAUAACACUUUAAAAUUAUUUUUAUUUCCCCCUUUUUUCCCUAGAAUUUAAAGAGGUAUACGAUGGAUUUGAUCAUCAACUUUCAUUUGAGAGAGUAAUGCAAGAGAAAAAGAACACAGUACUCCAAGAAACCAUAGCUUCUGGCAGAUGUUGCAAGAAUGAGUUAGAUCAUUGACCUUUUUUUCUGGGGCAUUGUGUCAAUUUUGAGUGGAGUUUCCAAUUGCACAAUAGCAUCUGGACAGUUUUGACAUCUUUAUUACACUCUGUGAGUUCUUAAAAUGCUACCAUUUUGUUUUAAAGAUGAUUUGUUUCAAAAUUAAAAUAAUUAUUUAACUGCCAAGAGUAAUUAAUCCCAUGACUGAAUUCCAAUAAAAUUCUCUUCCCAGAUCUGGCUUCCUAACGAAUAUUCAUAAUCAGAAUACCCAUUGUUUAAUCAAAAUCAGGAUUUGAUUAAUGAUAUUAACACUCAAAUCCAUUUCUUUGAAGACCUAAUUUUGUUUCUUGUAUUUGCUUUGCACUCAAUUACUGUGGUUUAAAUAGUCUGUUUAACAUGACCACUUUCAAACAAGAUCAUAAAUUCUCAUAAAAGCAGCCUAAGGAAUUCAUAAUCAUAGCUCUUGGCCGCCACCUAAAGGUUUCUUUUUUAUUUUAUUUUACAUAAGACCUACUGUGCAUUCCUUUAAUAAUAAAAUUGUUGCCUAUAUCA
rnacentral:lncRNA from 1 species